rnacentral:rRNA from 1 species
CCUACGGGUGGCAGCAGUGAGGAAUAUUGGUCAAUGGACGAGAGUCUGAACCAGCCAAGCAGCGUGAAGGAUGACUGCCCUAUGGGUUGUAAACUUCUUUUAUAUGGGAAUAAAAUGUUCCACGUGUGGGAUUUUGUAUGUACCAUACGAAUAAGGAUCGGCUAACUCCGUGCCAGCAGCCGCGGUAAUACGGAGGAUCCGAGCGUUAUCCGGAUUUAUUGGGUUUAAAGGGGGCGUAGGUGGUGUGGUAAGUCAGUUGUGAAAGCUUGCGGCUCAACCGUAGAAUUGCAGUUGAAACUGGCAGUCUUGAGAACAGUAGAGGUGGGCGGAAUGCGUGGUGUAGCGGUGAAAUGCUUAGAGAUCACGAAGAACACCGAUUGCGAAGGCAGCUCACUGGACUGCAACUGACACUGAGGCUCGAAAGUGUGGGGAGCAAACAGGAUUAGAUACCCGGGUAGUC